rnacentral:rRNA from 1 species
UACGAAGGGGGCUAGCGUUGCUCGGAAUCACUGGGCGUAAAGCGCACGUAGGCGGAUUUUAUGAUCAGGGGUGAAAUCCCGGGGCUCAACCUCGGAAUUGCCUUUGAUACUGUGAGUCUUGAGACCGGAAGAGGUGAGUGGAACUGCGAGUGUAGAGGUGAAAUUCGUAGAUAUUCGCAAGAACACCAGUGGCGAAGGCGGCUCACUGGCCCGGUACUGACGCUGAGGCACGAAAGCGUGGGGAGCAAACAGGG